UCAACAUCAAGACCAUAAUAUCCAGACAUAUUAAGGCUAUGUCCAUGUAUGCCUUUUAUGAAUAUAUUCUUAUCCAUUUCCAUAUGUCUUUUACCAAAAGAAUCACAUUGAAAGAUUAUAAACCCCAAAGGCACAAUGUAAAGAGCAAAUAAAUGAACACAAAUUACACAUGUAAACCACCACAGACGAGUCUCAUCGCACACCACUGUUAUGUUGCUUGAAACAGUAUAUCUGAGGAGGAGUAUCUCUUCUGACUAUUUUGGUGCUCUGACAUCAGUGUUGUGACUCAGACAGGAAAUGAGAGAUCCUUGCAGCACCCACUAAGAACUACUGCAUUACCAGGAAAGAGUGCUCAAUAGCCACCAACCUUGUGUUAAAGCUUGAUCUCAAACUUUUCAGGCCAACUACAGCCUUUGUUGAAAUCACGGUGUAGAUAAGUCAUACCUAGUCACAAUAUCCCCUCAGAUUUUUUUUGCACUAAGAAAACUGAAAUCUUCCGGCUUACUUUGUGACACAUGCCGUAUUUUUUGUCAUUUGAGAGUUUGUGUAGUUAAGAAAAAUCAAAAACUACCUUAUCUACACAUUCUAGCCACCAACUGCGUCUUGCCCAUUUCAUUACUAUUACUGAUGUAUGAAGGAGUUACAUUUACAUUUAUGCAUUUGGAAGAGUGCUUUUAUCCAAAGCGACUUCCAUUAAAUUGUAUUAUACAUUUGUUUCUGACUACAUUCUAAAAAAUGCUGGGUUAUUUGUUUAACCCAACAGCUGGGUUGAGCCUGUUGGGUCAUUUUGUUGGGUUAUUUUCUCAGUGUUGGGUCAUUUUUUGAGUAACCCAAACGCUGGGUUAGCAGUCGGGUCCAAUUGAGUGACAGUUGAGAGAGUAAACCCCUCCCACUCCUCGACGCAUCAGACAAACUCUACCUUCGCGGGCAUUUUGAUCCACCUCAUCUCGAAAAGUUGUUAUUCGGAGAAGAAAAGGUAUGUUUACGAGUUUUUAAUGUAUAAAACUAUUACUGUACAAAAAAAAUGCAAAAGUAUGCAAAAUUCGGCUGUUCGCAUUAGGUUUGAAAGUAACGUUACAAUCUAGCUUCGUUAGCUUUGUAUAGCUAGUCUGUAACGUUAUGCCCACGUUGUUCUAAUUUACAGCUUUUUAAUCAUUUAAACUUCAUUUUUGGUCAACAUUUCCCUUUGAAAUUCCUGACUCGUGUGAGUCAUUUAGUUCAGUAACUUACGCAUCUUGAUAUUAGUUUAAGGUCGACACGAGAGAGCGUCGUGUCAAAAGCAAACAUCCAGCAAUUUUUUUAUUUUAAAUACCGCUAAUGUUCGGUGAGGGAACUUAGUUUAAAUAGUCUUUUAGACGAGAAUGUAGUUGUUAAGAACACAAAUACGUGAUUUAUAUAUAAACAUAACGCCUCUUUGAGAUUGUGUUAAGAUGCUGUCGGAGGUGUGAGCUUCAGGCUGUCAGCGGUCGUGGCUCCGUGGAGAGCAGCUCUAUCUCGGCCAUUGCCUCGGGAGUAGCCGCUCUUAUAACCGUGCAGAAUAACAGCUAAUAGUAAUGGAUCAUUCCAUUCAAGAGAAAGUCAACUGGAACGUGGAUGUUUUCAUAACAGGCUUAAAGAUGAACAAAUUGAUAAAGAAACCCUCCUGCUGGACAUCCACUUCCAAAAGUGCACGCCACACUGUUGUCUACAAACUCCCAGGAAAAGAAUCCUCUUUAGUAAGACUGCUCCGUGGAUAUGUCAGGUUAAGCAGUGCUGAAACCGAAAGAACUAACGCUCUUUAAAAUGUUUUGUGAGUUUAUAUGAAGAGCAAAGUUACGGUGUCCCUUUUUCACAUCCAUAACGCUUGUUUAUUUCUUUUUUUAUAGAAAACUUGUGCAUAGACUGAUAUUUUAUCAUAUAAAUGCGAUUCUAUCAACAAGGGUUUAGUAAAAUACUUUUUAUAGUGUUUUUAUGUCGCAUCCAUAACGCUGCAUUUUACUCAUGCCACUUUGUUAACUGUAUAUGAAUUUUUGAAGUGUUAAGUUGUCUAACUAUUUAUAUUUACUUGUGCCACUUUAAUAACCUUGUUAAAUGUAUAUGUUAAAGUCUAAACUAAUGUAAUUUAUUGAAGUUAAUUUUCCUUAAAUAUGUAUAAACAUACAUUUCAU